rnacentral:lncRNA from 1 species
UAGUGGUAGACAUGACUGUAUGUAGUGUUAUGAUAUGAGGGUAGGUUAGUGUUAGACAUAUCUGUAUGUAGUGUUAUGAUAUGAGGGUAGGUUAGUGUUAUGAUAUGAUAUGAGGGUAGGUUAGUGUUAUGAUAUGAGGGUAGGUUAGUGUUAGACAUGUCUGUAUGUAGUGUUAUGAUAUGAGGGUAGGUUAGUGUUAGACAUGUCUGUAUGUAGUGUUAUGAUAUGAGGGUAGGUUAGUGUUAUGAUAUGAUAUGAGGGUAGGUUAGUGUUAUGAUAUGAGGGUAGGUUAGUGUUAGACAUGUCUGUAUGUAGUGUUAUGAUAUGAGGGUAGGUUAGUGGUAGACAUGUAUGUAUGUUGUGUUAUGAUAUGAGGGUAGGUUAGUGUUAUGAUAUGAGGGUAGGUUAGUGGUAGACAUGUCUGUAUGUAGUGUUAUGAUAUGAGGGUAGGUUAGUGUUAGACACGUCUGUAUGUAGUGUUAUGAUAUGAGGGUAGGUUAGUGGUAGACAUGUCUGUAUGUAGUGUUAUGAUAUGAGGGUAGGUUAGUGGUAGACAUGUCUGUAUGUAGUGUUAUGAUAUGAGGGUAGGUUAGUGGUAGACAUGUCUGUAUGUAGUGUUAUGAUAUGAGGGUAGGUUAGUGGUAGACAUGUCUGUAUGUAGUGUUAUGAUAUGAGGGUAGGUUAGUGUUAUGAUAUGAGGGUAGGUUAGUGUUAGACAUGUCUGUAUGUAGUGUUAUGAUAUGAGGGUAGGUUAGUGGUAGACAUGUAUGUAUGUUGUGUUAUGAUAUGAGGGUAGGUUAGUGUUAUGAUAUGAGGGUAGGUUAGUGGUAGACAUGACUGUAUGUAGUGUUAUGAUAUGAAGGUAGGUUAGUGGUAGACAUGUCUGUAUGUAGUGUUAUGAUAUGAGGGUAGGUUAGUGUUAUGAUAUGACGGUAGGUUAGUGUUAUGAUAUGAGGGUAGGUUAGUGUUAGACAUGUCUGUAUGUAGUGUUAUGAUAUGUGGGUAGGUUGGUGGUAGACAUGUAUGUAUGUAGUGUUAUGAUAUGAGGGUAGGUUAGUGGUUACUUUAUCCUAUCCCAGGUAUUCCUUAAAGAGGUGGGGUUUCAGGUGUCUCCGGAAGGUGGUGAUUGACUCCGCUGUCCAGGCGUCGUGAGGGAGCUUGUUCCACCAUUGGGGUGCCAGAGCAGCGAACAGUUUUGACUGGGCUGAGCGGGAACUGUGCUUCCUCAGAGGUAGGGAGGCG